CGUCUAUAUACGUAUAGCAUAUCAAUAAGCGGAGGAAAAGAAACUAACAAGGAUUCCCUUAGUAACGGCGAGUGAAGCGGGAAGAGCUCAAAUUUGAAAUCUUCAAGGUUCUACCUUGACGAAUUGUAGUUUAAAGAAGUGUUUUCUGUUAGAGAGUUGGCUAAAAGUUCUUUGGAAUAGGACAUCAUAGAGGGUGAGAAUCCCGUAUUUGAUCCAUUCUUUCUAGCUGUGUGAUACACUUUCAAAGAGUCGGAUUGUUUGGGAAUGCAGUCCAAAAUGGGUGGUAAAUUUCAUCUAAAGCUAAUAUUGGCGAGAGACCGAUAGCGAACAAGUACCGUGAGGAAAGAUGAAAAGAACUUUGAAAAGAGAGUUAAACAGUACGUGAAAUUGUCAAAAGGGAAGCGUUUGACACCAGUGUUGUUUUUCCGAAAAUCAAUUAAGAGCGGCUUGAUUUUGUGUUGUAUUGACCUUAUCAGCUUUCUUCACUCUUUUUCGAGUCUUUCUUAAUGCACUUUUCGGUUAACAAGUCAACAUCAAUUUCUUUUGUUGUAAAAGGGUAUUUGGAAGGUGGCUUUCUUUUCGGAGAAAGUGUUUAUAGCCUUAUACCUCUACAAUCGGAGAGAUUGAGGUCUGCAGCGUAGAUCCUUCGGGGCUAGAUACACUUGUGCUAAGUUAUAGCUAUUUCAUAGACAACUUGUUGACUAUGUUUAGUCAUGUAGCUUACCCGCUUGUGCUAUUUUACCUACGCUUAGGAUGUUGAGUCAUCACACAUCUCU
rnacentral:rRNA from 1 species